CCUACGGGUGGCUGCAGUGGGGAAUAUUGGACAAUGGGCGAAAGCCUGAUCCAGCCAUGCCGCGUGUGUGAAGAAGGCCUUCGGGUUGUAAAGCACUUUCAGUGGGGAAGAAAGCCUUGGGGCUAAUACCCUCGAGGAAGGACAUCACCCACAGAAGAAGCACCGGCUAACUCCGGGCCAGCAGCCGCGGUAAUACGGAGGGUGCGAGCGUUAAUCGGAAUUACUGGGCGUAAAGCGCGCGUAGGCGGUCUGAUAAGCCGGUUGUGAAAGCCCCGGGCUCAACCUGGGAACGGCAUCCGGAACUGUCAGGCUAGAGUGCAGGAGAGGAAGGUAGAAUUCCCGGUGUAGCGGUGAAAUGCGUAGAGAUCGGGAGGAAUACCAGUGGCGAAGGCGGCCUUCUGGACUGACACUGACGCUGAGGUGCGAAAGCGUGGGUAGCAAACAGGAUUAGAUACCCGAGUAGUC
rnacentral:rRNA from 1 species